AAAAAACAACACUUUUGAACUUUAAAAUUUUGUUUUAGAUCUGCACAGCUUACUCAAUUCCAAAGCUUAGGAGAAAAGGAUCAAAAAAAAGCUUGCACAAUUCAUAGAAAUGAACUUGUCAAGAUGAGGGUCAAAGAAAAGUUUGAACAUUCUGAAAUACGGAAAAAAUUCAGCUCAGAUAAUGAUUUUCUUCAAGUUUUUACUGUAAGUUCCUGUGCAUUUUUUGAUCAAGAUUUAAAUCUGGAACCUAAUGAAACAG